rnacentral:rRNA from 1 species
GCAUAUCAAUAAGCGGAGGAAAAGAAACCAACAGGGAUUGCCCUAGUAACGGCGAGUGAAGCGGCAACAGCUCAAAUUUGAAAUCUGGCUUCGGCCCGAGUUGUAAUUUGCAGAGGAUGCUUUUGGUGCGGUGCCGUCCGAGUUCCCUGGAACGGGACGCCACAGAGGGUGAGAGCCCCGUAUGGUCGGACACCAAUCCUGUGUAAAGCUCCUUCGACGAGUCGAGUAGUUUGGGAAUGCUGCUCUAAAUGGGAGGUAAAUCUCUUCUAAAGCUAAAUACCGGCCAGAGACCGAUAGCGCACAAGUAGAGUGAUCGAAAGAUGAAAAGCACCUUGAAAAGGGGGUUAAACAGUACGUGAAAUUGUUGAAAGGGAAGCACUUGUGACCAGACUUGGGCCGGGCGGCUCAUCAGGGGUUCUCCCCUGUGCACUCCGCCCGGUACAGGCCAGCAUCGGUUUUUGCCGGGGGUUAAUAACGGUAGGAACGUGGCUCCCCCUCGGGGGAGUGUUAUAGCCUGCCGUACGAUACCCUGGCGGGGACCGAGGUUCGCGCUUCCGCAAGGAUGCUGGCGUAAUGGUUACUAGUGACCCGUCUUGAAACACGGACCAAGGAGUCGUCCAUUAGAGCGAGCGUUUGGGUGUCAAACCCGCACGCGUAAUGAAAGUGAAAUUAGGUGAGAGCUUCGGCGCAUCAUCGACCGAUCCUGAUGUUCUCGGAUGGAUUUGAGUAAGAGUUUUAACGGACGGACCCGAAAGACAGUGAACUAUGCUUGUAUAGGGUGAAGCCAGAGGAAACUCUGGUGGAGGCUCGCAGCGGUUCUGACGUGCAAAUCGAUCGUCAAAUAUGAGCAUGGGGGCGAAAGACUAAUCGAACUGUCUAGUAGCUGGUUACCGCCGAAG